UACGAAGGGGGCUAGCGUUGCUCGGAAUCACUGGGCGUAAAGCGCACGUAGGCGGCUUUUUAAGUCAGGGGUGAAAUCCUGGAGCUCAACUCCAGAACUGCCUUUGAUACUGAGAAGCUCGAGUCCGGGAGAGGUGAGUGGAACUGCGAGUGUAGAGGUGAAAUUCGUAGAUAUUCGCAAGAACACCAGUGGUGAAGGCGGCUCACUGGCCCGGUACUGACGCUGAGGUGCGAAAGCGUGGGGAGCAAACAGG
rnacentral:rRNA from 1 species